rnacentral:rRNA from 1 species
UACGUAGGGUCCGAGCGUUGUCCGGAAUUACUGGGCGUAAAGAGCUCGUAGGUGGUUUGUCGCGUUGUUCGUGAAAACCCACAGCUUAACUGUGGGCGUGCGGGCGAUACGGGCAGACUUGAGUACUGCAGGGGAGACUGGAAUUCCUGGUGUAGCGGUGGAAUGCGCAGAUAUCAGGAGGAACACCGAUGGCGAAGGCAGGUCUCUGGGCAUUAACUGACGCUGAGGAGCGAAAGCAUGGGGAACGAACAGG